rnacentral:rRNA from 1 species
UACGUAGGGUGCAAGCGUUGUCCGGAAUUAUUGGGCGUAAAGCGCGCGCAGGCGGUGCGGUAAGUCUGUCGUGAAAUCUCCCGGCUCAACUGGGAGGGUGCGGUGGAGACUGCCGGACUGGAGGCACUCAGAGGCCGGUGGAAUUCCCGGUGUAGUGGUGAAAUGCGUAGAGAUCGGGAGGAACACCAGUGGCGAAGGCGGCCGGCUGGGGGUGACCUGACGCUGAGGCGCGAAAGCGUGGGGAGCGAACCGG